UACGGAGGGGUCUAGCGUUGUUCGGAAUUACUGGGCGUAAAGCGUACGUAGGCGGCUUUGUAAGUCAGAGGUGAAAGCCCACGACUCAAUCGUGGAACUGCCUUUGAGACUGCUUCGCUUGAAGAUGGGAGAGGUUAGUGGAAUUCCGAGUGUAGAGGUGAAAUUCGUAGAUAUUCGGAAGAACACCAGUGGCGAAGGCGGCUAACUGGACCAUUCUUGACGCUGAGGUACGAAAGCGUGGGGAGCAAACAGGAUUAGAUACCCCGGUAGUCC
rnacentral:rRNA from 1 species